rnacentral:rRNA from 1 species
GUCUUCUUGAUUGUAUAGGAAGUCUGACCUGCCCGGUGAAUAAGUAUUUAACGGCCGCGGUAUUCUGACCGUGCAAAGGUAGCAUAAUCAUUAGUCUUUUAAUAGAGGGCUGGAAUGAAGGGUUUGACGAAAUGCUUACUGUCUCAUUUAAUUUGAAAUUUGAAUUUGACUUUUUAGUUAAAAGGCUAAAUUGUUGUUGGAAGACGAGAAGACCCUAUAGAGCUUUAUAUUUUAAAAUUUAAAAGAUUUUUGUUUAAUUGUUAUUUUUUAAAUGGAAAAAUAUUUUGUUGGGGUGACAAAAAUAUAGAAUAAACUUUUUUAUUUAUUUAACAUUGAUAUAUGAGUAUUAGAUCCAUUAUUAUUGAUUGUUAGAGAAAGUUACCUUAGGGAUAACAGCGUAAUCUUCCUCCAGAGUUCAAAUUUACAGGAAGGCUUGCGACCUCGAUGUUGGAUUAAGAUAAUAAUUAGGUGCAGCCGCUUAAUUAAUAGGUCUGUUCGACCUUUAAAUUCUU